rnacentral:lncRNA from 1 species
AAAAAAAAAAAAAAAAAAAAAAAGUAGCAUGGAUAUAUGCCUCUGUGUGAGGGUAAAGUGGUAAGGAUUGAGAAUAUUAAACCUGUAUUACUGGGGAAAAUGGGUGACUUUAGCACAAGUGAUUAUAGAUACAAGGAAUUAAUAAAGAAAAACAAAAAUUGCUAAGAAUUAUUUUAGGCUACAAAAAAAUUUUAACAACUAUAUGAAAUAUUAUUUAUACAUAAAUUGCCACAAGGUAGAUUUUUUCUUAAAUACUUAUCCAAUGUUAACCGGUAUUACAGGCCAGGCACAGUGGCUCACGCCUGUAAUCCCAGCACUUUGGGAGGCCGAGGUGGGCAGAUCAUCUAAGGUUGGGAGUUCGAGACCAGCCUGACCAACAUGGAGACACCCCGUCUCUACUAAAAAUACAAAAUUAGCCGGGUGUGGUGGAGCAUGCCUGUAGUCCCAGUUACUCAGGAGGCUGAGGCAGGAGAAUGACUUGAACCCGGGAGGCAGAGGUUGCAGUGAGCCGAGAUUGUGCCAUUGCACUCCAGCCUGGGCAACAAGAGCAGAACUCCGUCUCCAAAAAAAAAAAAAAAACAAAAAACAAAAAAAAAACAAAGUCUCUAGCAAGUACAAGAGGUCAAAUUGUAAAACUGUCGUAACUCUGAUUCUCC